CAUGCAGUCGAGCGAUGAUUGAAGAUAGCUUGCUAUUUUCAUGAAGAGCGGCGAACGGGUGAGUAACGCGUGGGAAAUCUGCCGAGUAGCGGGGGACAACGUUUGGAAACGAACGCUAAUACCGCAUAACAAUGAGAAUCGCAUGAUUCUUAUUUGAAAGAAGCAAUUGCUUCACUACUUGAUGAUCCCGCGUUGUAUUAGCUAGUUGGUAGUGUAAAGGACUACCAAGGCGAUGAUACAUAGCCGACCUGAGAGGGUGAUCGGCCACACUGGGACUGAGACACGGCCCAGACUCCUACGGGAGGCAGCAGUAGGGAAUCUUCGGCAAUGGGGGCAACCCUGACCGAGCAACGCCGCGUGAGUGAAGAAGGUUUUCGGAUCGUAAAACUCUGUUGUUAGAGAAGAACGUUAAGUAGAGUGGAAAAUUACUUAAGUGACGGUAUCUAACCAGAAAGGGACGGCUAACUACGUGCCAGCAGCCGCGGUAAUACGUAGGUCCCAAGCGUUGUCCGGAUUUAUUGGGCGUAAAGCGAGCGCAGGUGGUUUCUUAAGUCUGAUGUAAAAGGCAGUGGCUCAACCAUUGUGUGCAU
rnacentral:rRNA from 1 species